ACACAACCCAAACCUAUCCGAAACUCACCCGAGUCCCUCGAGACCUCAACCAAUAAUUCCAACAAGUCAUAUAUCACUACCCGAACUUAGUCGAACCUUCGGAACACCCAAAACAACACCAAAACACCAAAUCAACCUCUGAUUCAAGCCUAAGAACUUCUAAACUUCCAACUUUCGCCAAUUCAAGCCUAAUUCUACCACAGACCUCUAAAUUACAUUUCGGACACACUCCUAAGUCUAAAAUCACCCAACAAAGCUAANNNNNNNNNNNNNNNNNNNNNNNUUUCACUCAAAAACUACUCUGAACCCAAACCUACCAACUCGAUACAACUCAACACAGCUGAACAACACAUAAAUAAGUAGAAAUGAGAAAAAUGGGGCUACAACUCUCGGAACGAUCGACCGGGUUGUUACACUACAAAUUACAGUACGCGGCAGGGAUCCAACAAUUUAUUUGCCAACAAGAGUAUUAUUAUUUUAGAUCUUUCCACAUGUGCCAAGCAUAUGAGCUAUAGCUGUAUACAAGUUAUUUUUGUACACUUUUGUAGUUUAGCCUUUCUAAAGAGACAAAUACAAUAAAUAUAUUGUACAAAUUUGUAAGGAGAUUUGUCAUUUUGUUUUGUGUAGUUUGUAUAAGUAGAAUGUACAGGAUUGAAAUGAAAUAUACAGAAGAAAUUUCUCUCAAUUGUAUCUCUGUUUUUACAUGGUAUCAGAAGCAAGGUUCAUUUCAUUCUCUCAUCAUCUUCAAUGGAUCCUAGCUUUAUUAUUGCAGAUGAUUCCCAAUCCAGUGGUGCAACUCAAUCUACUGCAACCAUUGUGAUUGAUUCUUCUCACCAUUACUUUCUUCACCCAUCAGACUCACCAGGUAUGAAUCUGGUUACUUCUGUUUUUGAUGGAAAAGGUUUUGGAGGUUGAAGGUGUGCUGUUUUAAUAGCUUUAUCAGCCAAGAACAAGCUUGGUUUCAUUGAUGGCACUCUCCCUAUUUCAGAAUCUGACUCUACUCUCAUUAGGUCUUGGAGUCGAUGCAAUGACAUGGUUCUAUCUUGGCUCUUGAACUCUCUUUCCAAGGACAUUGCUGAAAAUGUUCUUUAUUCUCAAAGUACUAAAGACCUGGGGAAUGAUUUACAAGACAUGUAUGGUCAAACUAAUGGAGCCAAGUUAUUUCAGUUACAAAGAGAGUUAAGUGGACUACCUCAAGGUAACUCUAAUGUUGCAAGCUAUUUCACUAAGAUGAAGUGUUUAUGGGAUGAGCUUGAUGCUCUUAAUACUUUCUCUAACAGUGUUUGUGAAUGUGUCUGUGGAGCCAAAGUAAAAAAUCAUAAGGCACAAAAAGAUCAAAGACUCCUGUAGUUUUUAAUGGGAUUGAAUGAAUCUUACAUAAGAGUCAUAAGCAACAUUUUUAUAUCUUCACCUUUGCCUUCCAUUGGAGAGGCUUAUUCUCUUAUCAUACAAGAUGAAAAUCAGCGUGAAAUUCAUCCUAAUCCUGCAUAUCCAGGAGAGUCUGCUUCAUUUAUUGCUGAUGGACAUAAUUUUGGGAUAAAGAGGUUCAAUUCUGGAGAUUUAAAGGGACAGAAAUUUAACUCUUGACAGCAAAAGUAAUACAUCUACAUGUGCUUAAUGUAAGAAGUAAGGUCAUAGUGUUGAUAAAUAUCAUAGGAUCCAUGGUUUUUAUGGAUAUUUUAAGUUCACAAAGUCAAAACAAUAUCAGGCAACAAUUCAGGGAAAUGUUACAAAUGCUAACGAAGAAUCUGAAGGCAAGCUUGUUCAUAAUAAUGAAUAAAACAUGGAAGGAAGAUCACUUACUCACAAAUCAUUUGGCUCAGAUUUCCCAUCUCUUGCAACAAUUGAAAUUUGAUCAACAAAGUCCUUCAACUUCAGAUGUUGUUGUUAAUGCCAACUGUGCUGGUAUGGCCCCUUCUUAUAAUUGCACCUCUUGUUUCACGCAUAUUAACAAUGAUUAUUGGAUUUUAGACUGUGGUGCUUUUGAGCAUAUGACUUUUAACAAGAGUGUGUUAAUAAAAUUAAAGUUAUUAUCCUUUCCUUUGACUGUCAAUCUUCUUAAUUCCUAUAGAGUUAAGGUAACUCAUUCAGGGUCAGUUGCUUUAUUUUCUAACCUGAUUUUGCAUAAUGUUCUUUUUGUCCCUACAUUCAGAUUCAAUUUCUUAUCAGUUCACAAAUUAUGCAAACAAUUCAGUUACUUAUGUUGUUUCUCUUCUACUGAUUGUGUCUUGUAGGGCCCUUCUCUAAAGAGGCCUUUGGUUCUUGAUGAGGAAAAGGGAGGUCUAUACAUUAUGCAGUCAAGACAUCUACCUAUCAAUUUUCAAAAAUCACCUAGUUCUAGUUGUAUUCUAAUUUCUAGAAAAAACUUGUGUAAAAGUCAAGUUGUUCUAGUUUUUUCUUCUUAUUUCUCUUCUACUGAUUGUAUCUUGCAGGGCCCUUCUUUGAAGAGGCCUCUGGUUCUUGAUGAGGAGAAGGGAGGUCUAUACAUCAUGCAGUCAAGACAUCUACCUAUCAAUUUUUAAAAAUUACCUAGUUCUAGUUGUAUUCCAAUUUCUAGAAAAAAAACUUGUGUAAAAGUCAAGUUGUUCCAGUUUUUUCUUCUUGUUUUAUUAGGUCUCAUGUAAAAUAAAGGCUAUGACAUUGUCGUUUAGGCCAUUUUCCCUUAUAUAAUAUGAAGAAUAUUUCAUCUAUUCCAGUCAAUGUCUUUAAAUUCUCUUCCCCUUAUGAUGUUUGUCCCCCUGCGAGGCAAUAAAAAUUGCCUUUCCCCUCAAGUUCAAUUUCUACAAAACAGAUUUUUGAUCUAAUUCACAUUGAUAUAUGGGGACCGUAAAACACUCCUAGUUACAAUAGGUUUAAGUAUUUUCUAACUAUAGUUGAUGACUAUAGUAGAGGAACUUGGACCUAUUUGCUCUCAACUAAGUCUAAUGUUUUUCCUAUCUUAAAAUCUUUCUUGGCAAUGGUUGAAAGGCAAUUUAACACAAAAGUUAAAAUCAUACGCUCAAAUAAUGCAUUUGAACUGGGAACGAGAACUGUUCAGAAAUAUGUUUUACUCUUACAAGGGAUCAUACACCAAACUACAUGUACAUCAACGCCUCAACAAAUGGAGUAGUCGAGCAUAAGCACAAGCACUUACUGGAAACCUCUAGAGCACUCCUAUAUCAGUCUCACCUUCCUAUUACUUAUUGGGGAGAAUGCAUCUUAACUGCCACCUACCUAAUAAAUAGGUUUCCUUAUAAGGUUCUUGGUUUUAAGACUCCUUAUGAAGUUUUGUUUGGAUUUGCACCUUCUUAUUCUUAGUUGAGGUACUUUGGGUGCCUAUGCUUUGCAUCCACAUCUACAGUUCAUAGGACUAAGUUUGGACCUAGAGCUGAAACAUAUGUCUUUCUUGGAUAUCCAUAUGGUAAAAAGGGAUUUAAGCUUCUAAGUUUAUCAACUAGGAAGGUCAUUAUAUCUAAAAAUAUAAUUUUUCAUGAAGACUAUUUUCCAUUUAGUUCCAAUCCUUCUAACAAAUUUAAUGGUUCUAUCUUUCCUUCUAUUCCUACUUUAGCCACAAAUCAUCAAGCUUCUUUGUCAAGUACUUCUAAUCCCACUUCAGUCACAAAUUAUCAAUAUGAUGCCUCACUUGUUAGUAUUGAAAUCAGUCCUAUAUCAUAUUCAUCUGAUUUAUCACACUCACCAUCAAAAGAUUCAGUACCACCUUUUUUGAUGAUACUAUUCAGACUAAUUCUCCACCAGUUUUGCGUAAAUCUACUAGAACUCAUACAACACCAUCAUAUCUGAAUGAUUAUAUAGGUAGUGCAGUACAAUUCACAGAUGUAUCCUCUACCUGUUUUUUGUCUCCUAUUACUGCACCUUCAUUUUCUUUCACUGCACGCUCUCCUUCAAAUAGACAUUUUCUCAAUUCAUUAUCCUAGAUUCAAGAACCAAUCAGCUAUUACCAAGCUUCUUUGCAUCCUGAUUGGCAAGAAGCAAUGGAAAAAGAGAUUGAUACGCUUAUUCUCAAUGAUACUUGGGAAGUGGUUAAGUUGCCUCCUGGAAGAAAGGCUUUACACUACAAAUGGGUUUAUAAUGUUAAGCAAAAUUCAGAUGGAACCAUCGAAAGACUGAAAGCAAGACUUGUAAUUCGUGGUGAAACGCAACGUGAAGGAAUUGACUUCACGAAGACUUUUUCUCCGGUUGUCAAGAUGACUACCAUCAGAUAUCUCUUAGCUAUAGCAGUAAAGAAAAAAUGGGGACUUUAUCAGUUGGAUGUGAACAAUGUCCUUUUUACAUGGCGACCUAAAUAAAGAAGUGUACAUGUAUUUUCCUAACGAUAUGACUCCUCCUACUGCUAAUCAUGUUUGCAAACUCAGAAAAUCACUCUAUGGACUGUCUCAAGCAUCUCGGCAGUGGUAUGCCAAAUUGACUGCAGAUUUGCGUUUUAAAGGUUAUAUGCAUUCGCUGAAUGAUUAUUCAUUGUUAUUUAAGAGGAAAGAUUCAUCAAUUUCUAUCGUCGCGGAGUAUGUUGACGAUAUUCUUCUUACUGGUAAUGAUGUGCGGGAAUUAAAUGCAUUAAAGGUUUUCCUUGAUCAAGAAUUUAUAAUUAAGGACUUAGGGGACUUACAUUACUUCCUGGGAAUGGAGGUUUUGAGAGAACCUGAUGGAUUGAUCCUUUGUCAACAGAAAGUCACCAUGGAUUUACUCCAGGAAUAUGAAUCUCUUCAGCUCACAUCUGUCUCAUCACCACUAGAUUCUUCUGUCAAGCUCUGAGUGGGAGAAGGUACUCCAAUUGCAGAUCCUACAUUUUAUCGUCGACUACUUAGAAAAUUGAACUACCUUACCCAUACAAGACCCGACCUUUAUUCCACUGUCCAACACCUAAGUCAAUAUAUGUAAGAUCCCCGCAAACCUCACUUAGACUCUGCCCUGAGAGUCCUUCGUUAUUUGCUCAAAGAUCCUGGUUUGGGUUUAUUCAGGAGUUCUUCACAAUCUUUCUAACUUCUUGCAUUUUGUGACUCAGAUUGGGGUACAUAUCCUGAGUCGCGUCGCUCAAUCAGUGGCUUUUAUAUUUAUGUUGGAGGUUCCCCAAUCUCAUGAAAGUCGAAGAAACAAACAUCUGUCUCUCUUAGUUCAGCCGAGGAAGAAUACCGUUCGAUGAGGCAAGUAGUUGCAGAAUUGACAUGGCUUGUGCGAUUAUUUGCAGAUCUCUCUGUUCCUAUCUCUCUUCCAGCUCAUCUUCACUCAGAUAGUCAAGCUGCGAUUCAUAUCGCCAAAAAUCCGGUCUUUCAUGAAAGAACCAAGCACGUGCACUUAGAUUGCCAUUUUGUUCGACAACAAUUCUUAGCAGGUUUGAUUUCACUAUCCUUUGUUCGAUCUUUCUCACAAAUUAAAGAUCUCUUCAUAAAAUCUCUCUCCGGACGGGUAUAUCAUAGUCUUCUGGGCAAGUUGGGUGUUCUCACCGCCCUUCCAACAUGGGGAGGGGGGUGUUGACCAAGUCACAAAAGAUGAUUAAAUUAUUAAAGAUAAACAUGAUCAAGCAGGUCUCAAAUUGUUGGAGAUAAGCUGGGAGGAAACUUAUUGUUCUAGAGACGAAAAGAAAAGCAAAGGAAAUUCUCUGUUAAAUAGAUACUAGCAAAGUCUAAGUGUAAGACUUAAGUUCACAAGUUAGAUUGUGAUGGUCAAAGGAGGCUACAAAUUGCAAUACGUGGCAGGGAUCCAACAAUUUAUUUGCCAACAAGAGUAUUAUUAUUAUAGAUCUUUCCACAUGUGCCAAGCAUGUGAGCUAUAGUUAUAUACAACUUAAUUUUGUACAGUUUUGUAGUUUAGCCUUUCUAAAGAGACAUAUACAAUAAAG
rnacentral:lncRNA from 1 species